ensembl:lncRNA
CACGGAUCAGCCUGGCCUGUUGAAGCUGUGCCAGUCUGCUCAGGCUCCAACGUUUGCUGGACAGUACUGCCAAGUGUUCCUCCGACAGGGAUCAAUUGAGUAUUUUGUGGGAAUAUGUGUCCCUGACAGUUGCACAGAAGAAGAUGUCCAGUUGCUGGUGCUGCAAGACAUGUUGAAGUUUGGGCGUGCCUCUCUUCUCGCUCCCUUUCCUUCUAUUCUGGUGAAUGACUCGACUCAAGAGGUGCUCCUGAUCCACUGUGUGCCUGACACAGUCGCCCCAAACAUGUUAGAGGUCACCUGCCUGUUUGUGUGUUGCAUGAUGGUAGCCAUUCCUCUGGCAGCCAGUCUGUUCACAGCUAUCACAACAUGGCAGCGGAGCAGAGAGGUCAGCCCAGCA